UCUAGUUGAUCCUGCUAGCGGCUGCGGCUCUCUGAUUUGCACUUAGGCAUGCAAGUCUUUCGCAAGAAGGCACACUGCUCAGUAACACGUAGCUAACCUGCCCUUGAGUCGGGAAUAACCUCGGGAAACUGAGGCUAACGCCCGAUACGGGACAUACCCUGGAAUGGUUCGUCCCCGAAACUCGUGCUCAAGGAUGGGGCUGCGGCGGAUUAGGUUGUUGGCGGGGUAAAUGCCCACCAAGUCGACGAUCCGUAAGGGCUCUUAGCGGAGAGGCCCUGAGAGGGAGUCUGAGAUACUACUCCCAGCCCUACGGGGUGCAGCAGCUGGGAAUCUUCUGCAAUACACGAAAGUGUGACAGAGCGAAUCAGAGUGCUCCUCAUUGAGGAGCUUUUGCCAAAUCUAAAAAGUUUGGCGAAUAAGGACUGGGCAAGACUAGUGCCAGCCGCCGCGGUAAUACUAGCUGUCCAAGUCGCAGCCAUUUUUUAUUGGGUCUAAAACAUCCGUAGCUUGUUUUGUAAGUUCUUUGUGAAAUUCUAUAUCUCAAGUAUAGAGCGUGCAAGGAAUACUGCAAGACUAGAGACUGGAAGACGUAAGAAGUACGUUUGAAGUAGCGGUUAAAUGCGUUAAUCUCAGACGGACUCACAACGGCGAAGGCAUCUUACGAGGACAGUUCUGACAGUGAGGGAUGAAGGCCAGGGUCGCAAAACGGAUUAGAUACCCGUGUAGUCCUGGCAGUAAACACUGUACACUAAACAUCAGUACCUCUUCGAGAGGCAUUGGUGCUCGAGGGAAGCCGAAGAGUGUACUACCUGGGAAGUAUAGUCGUAAGACCGAAACUUAAAGGAAUAGGCGGGGAGACACUACAACGGGUGACGCGUGCGGUUCAAUUAGAUUCUACACCGUGAACCUCACCAGGACCGACAGCAGAAUGAAGGUCAGUCUGAAGGGCUUACCUGACACGCUGAGAGGAGUUGCAUGGCCGACGUCAGCCUGUGCCGUGAGGUGACCUGUUAAAUCAGGUAACAGGCAAGACCCGCGUGCAUAUUUACCAUGUGUACAAUAUGCAGAUCGCCAUGGUAACAUGGAUGAAAGUGCGGGCUACGUUAGGUGAGUACAGCCUUAAUGCCCUGGGCAACACGGGCGCGUCAAUGGUAGAUACAAUGCGAUGCAACCCCGAAAGGGGAAGCCAAUCGCUUAAAGUCUAUCUCAGUCUAGAUCGAGGGCUGAAACCCGCCCUCGUGACACUGGAAUCCGUAGUAAUCGGGUGUUAGCAGCGCCCGGUGAAUAAGUCACUGUCUCUUGCACUCACUGCCCGUCAAACCAACCAAGUUGUGUUGAGAUGAAACUCUUCGGAGGAGAAUCCCAGCACGGUGAGGUAGGUUAAGUCGUCACAAGGUA
rnacentral:rRNA from 1 species